rnacentral:rRNA from 1 species
GUGGUACGUGAGCUGGGUUUAAAACGUCGUGAGACAGUUUGGUCCCUAUCUGCAGUGGGCGUUGGAAGUUUGACGGGGGCUGCUCCUAGUACGAGAGGACCGGAGUGGACGAACCUCUGGUGUACCGGUUGUUUCGCCAGAAGCAUAGCCGGGUAGCUAAGUUCGGAAGAGAUAAGCGCUGAAAGCAUCUAAGCGCGAAACUCGCCCAAAGAUGAGACUUCCCUUGUGGUUUAACCAUACUAAAGAGUCGUUCGAGACCAGGACGUUGAUAGGUUGGGUGUGGAAGCUGUCUCUUAUACACAUCU